GUGACAGAAUACUUUUCCCAGUGCUGAGACAUGGAAGCAAUGCAUGAUACUGUCCUGGAAGCUCCUGGGAGCUGUUGCAGUAUGGAGAUAAUAGCUACCUUUGCCUAAUCCUCAUGGGCUGAUUUGAAUACAGAAUUGGAAUCAUUCUCCAAUUGCUUUGAACCUGCGGGAAAAGUAUCAGCGUUUAUUUCAAAAGACUUGCUAGGAGUUAUCUUGAAAGAAAUCCAGUCACUUCAGACCUGUCCAGAGCCACCCUGGAUCCUGAGGAGUGCCUGCAGGGAGUGGCUGAUGCAGAGCCCUGUCCUGACACUGGCAGUCAAAGAGGUGAAGCCAUGGAAGCAGCAGCUCUCUUCAGCCUGGUGAGGAGGCUGAUGUAAACAAAACAAGAUCCUGAGGAGGCAUUUCCAGGAUUGGGCAAAGGUUUGGGCUGGACCUGGACAUGGCCAAAAGCAGGUUUGCACUGUGGGUGUCUCUGGGUGCUACUGCCCGUGCUGCUGCUUUCCUGAGGUGCUCAGACCCCUGCUCGGAAAAAUGAAUGUUUUAAUUAAAUCAUCUAGUCAGGAAAAAUUGUUGUCUGUA